UCAAACCCCCUCUCUCCCCGUCUCCCCGUCUACCCCUCUCACCCUCUCACCCUCUCACUACUCACUUAGCAAUAGCUAGGGCUUUAUUAUCUUUAUCUCCCCUAUAGAAACCCUAGCGUUGAAACUCCCAUCCCCAACAAUAACAAUCACCAUCAGUAUUGGAUCUGCCAUCACCGAUCCGCUGCUGUUGCCCGUCGCGCAGCACCUCCUUUUGCUGCAGAACCACCACCUCAGUGUCGGCGAUGGCAGAUCUUGAAGGAUGACCAAACCCUAGAGAGCUAUAGGGUUUGUUCUGUUUCCAGAGGCUACCCUUCCUCUAAGAGUUAUACAACCUAACUUUAUAGCUGCUAUUGAAAGAGCUUUGUGCCAAGUUGAUACUCCUUAUACCAUCGGCGUGGUUCAUAGGAUCCUGAUAAUGGGAGGAUGAGGUUUGCAAUCGUUGGGACGACUGUAGAGUAACGGUUUGAACACAACCGCUACAAUAAACCAAGCAAAAUAAAGGCGCCAAACAAAUUCUAAUUUCGCGCUUAUCAAUUUUUUAUUUUUUUUGGUGAAUAACAUAUCAAAAUCAGUCCCAAAGAAACCCUUCAACUCCUUGAUUUCAAUUUUGUGCCCUAAUUUAUCAACACGUCUUUCACGAAGUAUCUCGUUCAUCCUCCACCGAUGUAUUGACGACAUCAAGCUACAGCACCACUAUGAUUUCAAGAUGGAUCAAAUGGCAUUCACCAGGCUUCUCCACAAACACAUCAGAGAUCCUCUUUUGGAAGUUAUGAAAUGCAACCUUUUAAUUGGGGUAAGUAUUUCACUUAUAUAUAUUUUUUAUGGAAUAGAAAAAUCAAUAUUUUCCUCUUUUUUAAUGUCAUUUUCAUGUUUCAAGUAAGUCAUCAUUACAAAUUUUAAUAUCAACAUCAAAUUCUAAUAUGAAAUCAAAAAAUAGACCCUUGGAUGUUUUUGUUGGUUAGUUGAUUAGUGGCUGCUACAAACCCAAUCUUUGGCAUUGUUUGCAUGAAGCGGCUGCCCUCAGAUUAAAAUCUGCAAUCCAAGCAUUUACCAUUCCACAAAGCAAUUUUCCAUAUAUAUGGUAUCUACGUAUGUGUAUACAAACAGUGUAAAAGCAUACAUACCUGUAUACAAGCAGUGUAAAAGCAUACAUGAAUGAAAUGGUAGGUCUAUCCCA